AUCCCUGUAGCGCAAGGGAUUGCGCGUUGGGCUUGUAAUUCAAAGGUCAUGAUUUCGAAUCCCACCUGGGAUG